UGGGGAAUAUUGCACAAUGGGCGCAAGCCUGAUGCAGCGACGCCGCGUGAGGGAAGAAGGUUUUCGGAUUGUAAACCUCUGUUAAGUGGGAAAAAAUCCCGACGGUUAAUACCCGGUCGGGGAUGAUGGUACCACUAGAGAAAGUACCGGCAAACUUCGUGCCAGCAGCCGCGGUAAUACGAAGGGUACGAGCGUUAUUCGGAGUUACUGGGCGUAAAGAGCGUGUAGGCGGUUAGUUAAGUUAGUUGUUAAAUUCCCCGGCCUAACUGGGGACGUGCGGCUAAUACUGGCUAGCUAGAGUACAAGAGAGAGAAGUAGAAUUCCCGGAGUAGCGGUAAAAUGCGUAGAUCUCGGGAGGAAUACCGAUGGCGAAGGCAGCUUCUUGGCUUGUAACUGACGCUAAAGCGCGAAAGCGUGGGGAGCAAACAGG
rnacentral:rRNA from 1 species